rnacentral:lncRNA from 1 species
CCACGGGAACAGCCAAACAUUCUUACGGUAUUUUCGUACGCUUCGACCUAUAAAUAUAUUGUAUUUGUCAUAUUAGAAUCGAAAUAAUUCCUUCAUGUCAUGCUCUAUGCUCAUUUUAACAUGGGUAGGCAUUAUAUUUGACCACAUUUUACACCUCGCUAACGCUCAGUGUAAAAUAUCGACAAAUAUAAUGCCUACCCAUGUUAAAAUGAGCA